AAGCAGAAUUAGCAGACCCUCCAUUAUAAAACGGAGGAAGGUCUACGAGCACAACGGUGAGUGAGCGAUCGGAAUGUAACUCGAGGACUUCCUGAGUGAAAUAAACUUGGAAAAACAACUUCAGAAUCUCUUCCUCCUCAAACUACUGUGAACGCGAGUCGUACGAACUCAAGCACAACCAAUUUUUGUUGUGGACAGUCCGGCGAAAAAGGCUCGACAACCUUUCGGAAUUUACAUCGCCCCGCGUAAAGGAAGCUGUGACGCUUGUAUGCGAUCGUGGAGAUCUGAUAAAAUAUUCGAUCACUUUGUUAUUGGAAUAACCAGCAGACACCACACUGGUGCAAAUUCGCACCCACGAAAAUUUAAAGUGUCCUUUAAAACGAAAACUUCAAAAUUGCUUCCUUCAACUUGCCCAUUUUUCUAUAACAAAACUUUAUUUUUCAAUUUUUUAAAUGAGUGCAAUCGAUCACUGAGGAAUUUCUACCCUUUAAAUGUCUCGUUGUAAGAUUAAUUCCAUACAUUCAUGAAUGAAAUAAAGAGUUUUGAAAAGUUCAAGUAUAAAUUAA